AACGAACGCUGGCGGCAUGCCUAACACAUGCAAGUCGAACGAGACCUUCGGGUCUAGUGGCGCACGGGUGCGUAACGCGUGGGAACCUGCCCUUAGGUUCGGAAUAACUCCCCGAAAGGGGUGCUAAUACCGGAUAAUGUCUUCGGACCAAAGAUUUAUCGCCUUUGGAUGGGCCCGCGUUGGAUUAGCUAGUUGGUAGGGUAAAAGCCUACCAAGGCGACGAUCCAUAGCUGGUCUGAGAGGAUGAUCAGCCACACUGGGACUGAGACACGGCCCAGACUCCUACGGGAGGCAGCAGUGGGGAAUAUUGCACAGUGGGCGGAAUCCUGAUCCAGCAAUGCCGCGUGAGUGAUGAAGGCCUUAGGGUUGUAAAGCUCUUUUACCCGGGAUGAUAAUGACAGUACCGGGAGAAUAAGCUCCGGCUAACUCCGUG
rnacentral:rRNA from 1 species